CUUACACUCAUGGGUUUAUUUUUGUAAAAUAUGCAUUUACAUACCAAUUAUGAAGCAAAUUAGAAAACAAAUAUACAAAUACCAUAAGCUCCAAUCGCUCUCUACAAGUUAGACACUAGUCAUCAAAGUAUCAUACAGAAUCACAGGAAGUGGGAAAAGGGGGGUGGAAACAAAUGGACAAACUGCAGCUUGUGGCAUGUUAUCAAUCCAGACUGAUAUUUGAGCAGCACCACAACAGCAGAUAAAUGAACAGUUUAGGGGUCAACUUUUAGUUUAGAACAUACAGCCAUGCAUUCUGAGGUAUUGCAGGUACAUGAACGUAGAUUCGAUCCUAACGGAACUGUUUCAUUUAACAUGUACUAAGACGUCAAAGAAGACGUCUUCCCUUGUCUCAUUCCUGUUGAUGAAACUAUAUCCAUUCUUGACAUUGAACCACUUGACUAUACCUUUGUGACAUACAGUGUAAAAGUGAAAGGGAACAGUACACACCUCAGAGAGACACUACACACCUCAUCAAGGGUCCUUAGGAGUGAGGAGGGUUCAUCCACAGUAGCCUGAGAACUGUUCUGUCUUUGGUAGGCUAGGUGGUUACCAGGUUGGUGUGUCCAUUAAACUGUUCUGUCUUUGGUAGGCUAGGUGGUUACCAAGUUUGUGUGUCCAUUAAACUGUUCUGUCUU
ensembl:lncRNA